GACGGGGUCGCAAACUGGGUAUGCACCGGCCUGCAAAGCCGGCAACGUUGGUUCAAUUCCAACCCCCGUCU
rnacentral:tRNA from 1 species